rnacentral:rRNA from 1 species
UACGUAGGGGGCAAGCGUUGUCCGGAAUCAUUGGGCGUAAAGCGCGUGUAGGCGGCUGGGUAAGUCCGCUCUGAAAGCCCGGGGCUCAACCCCGGGAGGCGGGUGGAUACUGCUCAGCUCGAGUCCGGAAGAGGAGUGUGGAAUUCCUGGUGUAGCGGUGAAAUGCGCAGAUAUCAGGAGGAACACCAAUGGCGAAGGCAGCACUCUGGGAGCGGUACUG